GCUGUGGCUCAGUGGUGGAGCACUUGCCUAGCAUGCACAAGGCCCUGGGUUCCAUCCCCAGGUCUGCA
rnacentral:tRNA from 1 species